UACGUAGGUGGCAAGCGUUGUCCGGAAUUAUUGGGCGUAAAGCGCGCGCAGGCGGCCUCUUAAGUCUGAUGUGAAAGCCCCCGGCUCAACCGGGGAGGGCCAUUGGAAACUGGGAGGCUUGGAGUAUAGGAGAGAAGAGUGGAAUUCCACGUGUAGCGGUGAAAUGCGUAGAGAGUGUGGAGGAACACCAGUGGCGAAGGCGACUCUUUGGCCUAUAACUGACGCUGAGGCGCGAAAGCGUGGGGAGCAAACAGG
rnacentral:rRNA from 1 species